CGUCCGGCGGCGCGGCGUCGGACGCUGCGGAGGAUCGAGAAGGAUCUGGAAGAAUCCGGAGCGCCCUGAGCGCCAGAGCCCGAUCCGGCCGCCGUCUCUAGAAAGUUCUCCCCCCACGUCCUUCGCGGCCGCCCGGCUCCUCCCAGCCCCUCCCUCCGCGGCGGUGGGACCAAUCGCUCCCCCGGCCGCCCACGACCCACCUCCUGCGCCCGCCCGCGCCGGAGCAGAGGUGCGCGAGCCCCGGCCGGCCGCCCGCACAGCCGCGCAUUGACUGGGUCCAGCUGCCCGAGGAACGGCACGAUGACCGCCGAGGAGGCGAAGGCUGCAGAGAGCGGAGCGCAGUCGGCGCCGCUGCCCCUCGAGGGGGUGGACAUCAGUCCCAAGCAGGAUGAGGGCGUGCUUAAGGUCAUCAAGCGAGAGGGCACAGGCACGGAGAUGCCCAUGAUCGGGGACCGAGUCUCUGUCCACUACACGGGCUGGCUGCUUGAUGGCACCAAGUUUGACUCCAGCCUGGACCGCAAGGACAGAUUCUCCUUCGACCUGGGGAAAGGGGAGGUCAUCAAGGCUUGGGACGUCGCCGUAGCGACCAUGAGGGUGGGGGAGGUGUGCCGCCUCACCUGCAAGCCAGAAUACGCCUAUGGCUCGGCGGGCAGCCCUCCCAAGAUCCCUCCCAACGCCACGCUCGUGUUCGAGGUGGAGUUGUUUGAGUUCAAGGGAGAGGACCUGACGGACGAAGAAGAUGGUGGAAUCAUCAGGAGAAUCCGGGCUCGGGGGGAAGGCCACGCCAAGCCCAACGAUGGCGCCCUCGUGGAGGUUGCGCUGGAAGGGUACUACAAGGACCAGGUCUUUGACUGCCGGGAGCUCCGCUUUGAGGUCGGCGAGGGGGAGAGCGUGGAUCUGCCUUGUGGGCUGGAGAAAGCCAUUCAGCGCAUGGAAAAAGGAGAACAUUCCAUCGUGUAUCUCAAGCCCAGCUAUGCUUUUGGCAGCGUUGGGAAGGAAAAGUUCCAGAUCCCACCAAACGCUGAGCUGAAGUAUGAAGUACAGCUCAAGAGUUUCGAGAAGGCCAAGGAGUCCUGGGAGAUGAGCUCCGAGGAGAAGCUGGAGCAGAGCGCUGUAGUGAAGGAGCGGGGCACCAUGUACUUCAAGGAAGGCAAGUACAAGCAAGCUCUGCUGCAGUACAAGAAGAUCGUGUCCUGGCUGGAAUUCGAGUCGAGCUUCUCGGACGAGGACGCACCGAAGGCGCAGGCCCUGCGGCUGGCCUCCCACCUCAACCUGGCCAUGUGUCACCUGAAGCUGCAGGCCUUCCCGGCUGCCGUUGAAAACUGCAAUAAGGCCCUGGAACUGGACGGCAACAACGAGAAGGGCCUUUUCCGCCGGGGAGAGGCCCACCUGGCGGUGAACGACUUUGACUUGGCACGGGCCGAUUUCCAGAAGCUCCUGCAGCUCUACCCCAGCAACAAAGCCGCCAAGGCCCAGCUGGCUGUCUGCCAGCAGCGGAUCCGCAAGCAGCUCGAACGGGAGAAGAAGCUCUACGCCAACAUGUUUGAGAGGCUGGCUGGGGAGGAGAGCAAGGCCAAGGCCACGGUCGCUGUGGGAGACCAGCCCGCCGACAUGGAGAUGAAGGAGGAGCAGAAGGACGUGGCCGGGGGCCAGCCUCCGGUGGAGGCGGAAGCUUAGCCCCGCCCAGCCCUGCUCCCAGCUGCCCGCCCCCUCCUCCCUACCCUACUCCACCCUGUUAGUUUUGUAAAAACUGAAGAACUUUGAGUGGUGUGGCUGAUGCUGCCUUCUGGUGUCACGGUGACCACCC